UGGGGGUGGAGACUCUAAUUUUCCCGCCUAAAGCAUCCCCUGGGAUUGGCUACUUUAAGUUCAGAGUACGCAUGCUCUGACUUUCUCUCUCUUUCGAUUCUUCCAUACUCAGAGUACGCACGGUCUGAUUUUCUCUUUGGAUUCUUCCAAAAUCAGAGUCAGACUGCUCCCGGUGCCAUGAACGGAGACGACGCCUUUGCAAGGAGACCCGCGGCUGGUGCUCAAAUACCAGAGAAGAUCCAAAAGGCCUUCGAUGAUAUUGCCAAAUACUUCUCUAAGGAAGAGUGGGAAAAGAUGAAAGCCUCGGAGAAAAUCUUCUAUGUGUAUAUGAAGAGAAAGUAUGAGGCUAUGACUAAACUAGGUUUCAAGGCCACCCUCCCACCUUUCAUGUGUAAUAAACGGGCCGAAGACUUCCAGGGGAAUGAUUUUGAUAAUGACCCUAACCGUGGGAAUCAGGUUGAACGUCCUCAGAUGACUUUCGGCAGGCUCCAGGGAAUCUCCCCGAAGAUCAUGCCCAAGAAGCCAGCAGAGGAAGGAAAUGAUUCGGAGGAAGUGCCAGAAGCAUCUGGCCCACAAAAUGAUGGGAAACAGCUGUGCCCCCCGGGAAAACCAACUACCUCUGAGAAGAUUCACGAGAGAUCUGGUGUACUUCAGAGAUACUGCAGGUUCAGUUCCAGACCACUGCAAUAAAGUGAGUCACACACGUUGUUUUUUGGUUUGGCAGCGCAUAAAAACAUUAUGUUUAUACUAUAGUGUAGUCUACUAAGUGUGUGAUAGCGUUGUGUCUAAAAAUGUAUAUACCUUAAUUUUAAAAUAAUUCUUUGUUAAAAAUGCUAACAAUCUUCUGAGCCUUCAGUGAGUCACACUCUUUUUGCUGGUGGAGGGUCUUGCCUCGGUGUUGAUGGCUGCUGGCUGAUCAAGGUGGUGGUUGCUGAAGGGUGGAGUGGCUGUGGCAGUUUCUUAAAAGAACACAACAGUGAAAUUUGCCACAUCGAUUAGCUCUCCGUUUCAUGAAGGAUUUCUCUGUAGUAUGUGAUGCUAUUGGAUAGCAUUUUACCCACAGUAGAACUUCUUUCAAAGUUGAAAUCAAUCCUCUCUAGCUAUGAAAGUCCUAGAUGGCAUCUCCUUCCAAUAGAAGGCUAUUUUAUCUACAUUGAAAAUCUGUUGUUUCAUGUAGCCACCUUCAACAGUGAUCUUAGCUAGAUCUUCUGGAUAACUUGCUGCAGCUUCUCCAUCAGGGUUUGCUGCUUCACCUUGCACUUUUAUGUUACGGAAACGGCUUCAUUCCUUAAACCUCAUGAACCAACCUCUGCUAUCUUCACAUGUUUCUCCUGCAGCUUCUUCACCUCUCUCAGCAUUCAUGGACUUGACGAGAGUUCUGGUCUUGCUCUGAAUUAGACUUUGGCUUAAGGGAAUGUUGUGGCUGGUUUCGUCUUCUAUCCUGACCACUCAAACUUCCUCUAUUUGAGCAGUAAGGCAGUUUUGCUUUCUUAUUCGUGUGUUCACUGGAGUAUUAGUAUUAUUAUUUCCCUCAAGAACUUUUCCUUUGCAUUAUAUACUAUUAUUUCCUUCAAGAACUUUUCCUUUGCAUUCACAGCUUGGCUGUUUGGUGCAAUAGGCCUAGCUUUCAUCCUGUCUUGGCUUUCAGCAUGCUUCCUCACUAAGCUUAGCCAUUUCUAGCUUGUGAUUUAGAGCGAGAGACAUGCGACUCUUCCUUUCAUUUGAACACUUAGCGGCCAUUGUAAGGUUGUUAAUAAUCCUCAUUUCAGUAUUGCUGUGUCUCAGGAAAUAGGGAGGCCCAAGAAAAGGAAGAGAGACGCGGAACAGCUCAUCGGUGGAGCAGUCAGAACACACACAACAUUGGUCGAUUCAGUUUGUCAACUUCUAUGGGUGCAGUUCAUGGUACCCCCCAAAACAAUUACACACAACAGGGUGAUUAUAGUCAAUAAUAACUUAAUUGUACAUUAAAAAAACUAAAAGAGCAUAAAUGGAUUGUUUGUAAGGCAAGGAUAAAUGCUUGAGGAUGGAUACCCUAUUUUCCAUGAUGUGAUUAUCAUGCAUUGCAUGCCUGUAUCAAAGCAUCUCAUGUACCCCAUAAGAAUAUACACCUACUGUGUACCCACAAAAUAAAGAACAAAAAUUAUUUUAAAACACUAAAAAACAAUAAAAACAAUUGUAGUAAUAAUAUCAAAGCUCACUGAUCACAGAUCACUGUAACAGAUAUAAUAAUAAUGGAAAAGUGUAAAAUUGGUGAGAAUUUCCAAAAAAAAAAAAUUGCAGCAUCUGCGAAGCAGUAUGAACAUGAAGUGCAACAGAACAAGGUACGCCUGUGUGGCCUUAACAAAUACGUGCUGGAUGAAAGGAGGUAUGGGGGAAUGUUCCCGUAAGUGAAGAGGUUGGGAAUCUAAGCCUGAGAAGGGAAGGAGCCAGAAGCUAAAACUUUAAUCGGCAUUUGGCCUAUGCUGGUGUGGAUCUAAGGUCUCAGCCUCUCUAAGCCAGAGAAUGUGAAAAACUGGAUAAAGAAGGCCCAUGGGCACUUGGGAGGAAGCAGGCAUCUCCUUUUUUUGAGUAAACAGAGCCUAACACUCUCCAACCUACCCAACCCUCACUUUCCAACUAUUCUCCAUCAUAGGACCCAAAAGGGGGGAACAUGCCUGGACUCACAGACUGCGUGAGAGAAAGCAGCUGGUGAUUUAUGAAGAGAUCAGCGACCCUGAGGAAGAUGACGAGUAACUCCCCUCAGGGAUACGACACAUGCCCAUGAUGAGAAGCAGAAUGUGGUGACCUUUCACGAACAUGGGCAUGG